CUGACUGUUUUUUAGCCAGCCCCCACAGGUUCUACCCUUCAGCGCGCCGGCCGAAGAAAAAAAACUGCAACUCUUGCUCUGGCUCCGUUUACUUACUAAAAGUAAUAGGUAGUAUGUACGCCGGCUAAUUUCCCACAGUAGGGGAA
rnacentral:sRNA from 1 species